GCGAGGAACAAUGCGAAGUGACAGCAUGAGACAGCGGAUGUAAAGAUUUUGCAAAGGACCCAGUUCCCACCCGGCAGAAGAUCCCUGCAGCCCUGCAGCAGCCGGCAAAUCCAUCCCUCCGGUCUCCCGCAUGCUCCACCGCAUGCACGGGCUGUAGGAACACAAGAGGCUGCAGAGAGUAGUGGACACAGCCCGGUCCAUCAAGCCACCAUUG